rnacentral:lncRNA from 1 species
UUUGACGAAACGGAAAAGUUGUAUACAAAAAUAAUUUGUUCUUAAGAAAUGAAAGUAGGGAUGCAAUGUGUAGAGAGGAUGUUUUGUGAUUGGCGAGAGAGGCGGAUGGAGGGAGAAUAGAAGGUUUGAAUCUGAGUUUGAGGAGAAAAAAAGAGUCACUGUGUAAUGAAGAUCUGGAGAGAGCAGUCCAGUUUUUGAAAAGUAAGAGGUCUGUAUAAAGUGGUGAAGUUGGCGGCCGUGUAAGCAGAAUCGUGUUGAAACAAAAUCGUUGAUCGAGUUGAGAAGUUAAAUCUCCUUGUGUACGAAGAGAUUCCUGUUUCUGUCUGGAACGAGUAGCCGGUUGGUAUUAAUUUGCAUAAGAUAUCAAGCAGAGAAAAAACUGAGGAGAGAUUUCGAGCGAGUGCUGUUGUUUUUUUGUGAAGCAGUUUGGACGAGAAGGAUCGUCGCAGCAUCCGAGGAGCACGUGUGGGAGAAACGAGGACUACACAAUCCAAGAGAAG